AUUAGCUAGUUGGUGGGGUAAAGGCUCACCAAGGCAACGAUCCGUAGCUGGUUUGAGAGGACGACCAGCCACACUGGGACUGAGACACGGCCCAGACUCCUACGGGAGGCAGCAGUGGGGAAUUUUGGACAAUGGGGGAAACCCUGAUCCAGCCAUCCCGCGUGUAUGAUGAAGGCCUUCGGGUUGUAAAGUACUUUUGGCAGAGAAGAAAAGGUAUCCCCUAAUACGGGAUACUGCUGACGGUAUCUGCAGAAUAAGCACCGGCUAACUACGUGCCAGCAGCCGCGGUAAUACGUAGGGUGCAAGCGUUAAUCGGAAUUACUGGGCGUAAAGCGUGUGUAGGCGGUUCGGAAAGAAAGAUGUGAAAUCCCAGGGCUCAACCUUGGAACUGCAUUUUUAACUGCCGAGCUAGAGUAUGUCAGAGGGGGGUAGAAUUCCACGUGUAGCAGUGAAAUGCGUAGAUAUGUGGAGGAAUACCGAUGGCGAAGGCAGCCCCCUGGGAUAAUACUGACGCUCAGACACGAAAGCGUGUGGAGCAAACAGGAUUAGAUACCCUGGUAGUCCACGCCCUAAACGAUGUCAACUAGCUGUUGGGGCCGUUAGGCCUUAGUAGCGCAGCUAACGCGUGAAGUUGACCGCCUGGGGAGUACGGUCGCAAGAUUAAAACUCACAGGAAUUGACGGGGACCCGCACAAGCGGUGGAUGAUGUGGAUUAAUUCGAUGCAACGCGAAGAACCUUACCUACCCUUGACAUGUCUGGAAAGCCGAAGAGAUUUGGCCGUGCUCGCAAGAGAACCGGAACACAGGUGCUGCAUGGCUG
rnacentral:rRNA from 1 species